GACGAACGCUGGCGGCGUGCCUAAUACAUGCAAGUAGAACGCUGAAGAGAGGAGCUUGCUCUUCUGGAUGAGUUGCGAACGGGUGAGUAACGCGUAGGUAACCUGCCUUGUAGCGGGGGAUAACUAUUGGAAACGAUAGCUAAUACCGCAUAACAAUGGAUGACUCAUGUCAUUUAUUUGAAAGGGGCAAAUGCUCCACUACAAGAUGGACCUGCGUUGUAUUAGCUAGUAGGUGAGGUAACGGCUCACCUAGGCGACGAUACAUAGCCGACCUGAGAGGGUGAUCGGCCACACUGGGACUGAGACACGGCCCAGACUCCUACGGGAGGCAGCAGUAGGGAAUCUUCGGCAAUGGGGGCAACCCUGACCGAGCAACGCCGCGUGAGUGAAGAAGGUUUUCGGAUCGUAAAGCUCUGUUGUAAGUCAAGAACGAGUGUGAGAGUGGAAAGUUCACACUGUGACGGUAGCUUACCAGAAAGGGACGGCUAACUACGUGCCAGCAGCCGCGGUAAUACGUAGGUCCCGAGCGUUGUCCGGAUUUAUUGGGCGUAAAGCGAGCGCAGGCGGUUUGAUAAGUCUGAAGUUAAAGGCUGUGGCUCAACCAUAGUUCGCUUUGGAAACUGUCAAACUUGAGUGCAGAAGGGGAGAGUGGAAUUCCAUGUGUAGCGGUGAAAUGCGUAGAUAUAUGGAGGAACACCGGUGGCGAAAGCGGCUCUCUGGUCUGUAACUGACGCUGAGGCUCGAAAGCGUGGGGAGCGAACAGG
rnacentral:rRNA from 1 species